GACAGAGGUGCCGAGCGUUAGGCGGAAUCACUGGGCUUAAAAGCGUGUGUAGGCGGGUCGUUAAGUGCCUUGUGAAAUCCCACAGCUCACCUGUGGAACUGCUUGGCAUACGUGGCGAUCUUGAGCCACUUUAGGGGCAACCGGAACAAACGGUGGAGCGGUGAAAUGCGUAGAUAUCGGGAGGAACACCAGUGGCGAAGGCGACUACCUGGCCUGUUUCUUGACGCUGAGGCGCGAAAGCUAGGGGAGCAAACGGG
rnacentral:rRNA from 1 species